UCUCUAGGGGUCCAGUGGUUAGGACUCUGCACUUUCAAUGCAGGGGGCAUGAGUUCAAUCCCUGGUUGGAGAA
rnacentral:tRNA from 1 species